AAGAGACGUUGCCCUUCGGGGUAUACCUCCCACCCUUUGUUUAUUAUACCUUUGUUGCUUUGGCGGGCCCGUCCUCGGACCACCGGCCUCUGCAUGGUCAGUGCCCGCCAGAGGACCUAAAACUCUGUUUGUUAAUAUUGUCUGAGUACUAUAUAAUAGUUA
rnacentral:misc_RNA from 1 species